UCUAAUACCUCUAUCCACCUGACUUGAUAGGCCAUCUUGUUCACUGCUGCCAAGGGGUGACUGAUGCCUACAGGAUAAAUACUGCUGUCUUAAAGACUAAGAAAAAAAGAGCAUUCAAUCCCACAUCAAACCAGAGGUGAUCAGAUCCACAGCUGGAGAAGUAGCCAAAUCUUAUAUCUUGUACAGGAGCUAUAGAUGGACAAUGGUAUAGACCCAAGUUGGAAUUGAAAGAGGAGAUGGGGCAGGAUCAUAUCACAUUUGGAAGAUCAUGCUUUCAGUCAGCCUAAGAGGUUUGCAGCUGCCAAAAUCUAUCUCUUUAACACCAGUAUUUCUCUAGUGAGGCUACAAAGUUGUGAAUCAUGCAGUACCAUCUCUGAGCCAUCUCAAGAAUCAAACUUCAGAAAGAGCCAUCCGACAUUCAAGAUAUUAUUCAGGAUCCAUACCAAGUAAAAUGGAGUUGGCAGGACAUCUGGUUUCACGUAGAACCAUCCAAGUUCAUUCCUGGCCCCCCCCCCAAAAAAAGGUGUCCAUUCAGCAAGGCUUAUAGUUAAUUCUCAUUGGAUCCAGUGAACCCACCCACCCUUAGCACAUUGCAGGUUCAGUGACUUCUACACAUUCCAUUUUGACUUAAUAAAAUCUGCUGUGCUCUGGCGGGAAGCCAUGUAUAGUACACACAAACAUGUUUUGCCUCUGUGCAACACGUCCCAAGAUUUAUGUUUCUGAUGAAACCACCCUGAAGGACCCCACCUCCGAUGGAAACACCCUGACUUUCACAAUUCAUCCCCAGAUUCCCUAUUGGACUUAGUAAUAAAGAUGAAACUCGCCCAAACAA